rnacentral:rRNA from 1 species
AUUGAACGCUGGCGGCAGGCCUAACACAUGCAAGUCGAGCGGGAACUUCGGUUCUAGCGGCGGACGGGUGAGUAAUGCGUAGGAAGCUACCCGAUAGAGGGGGAUACCAGUUGGAAACGACUGUUAAUACCGCAUAAUGUCUACGGACCAAAGUGUGGGACCUUCGGGCCACAUGCUAUCAGAUGCGCCUACGUGGGAUUAGCUAGUUGGUGAGGUAAUGGCUCACCAAGGCGACGAUCCCUAGCUGGUUUGAGAGGAUGAUCAGCCACACUGGAACUGAGACACGGUCCAGACUCCUACGGGAGGCAGCAGUGGGGAAUAUUGGACAAUGGGCGAAAGCCUGAUCCAGCCAUGCCGCGUGUGUGAAGAAGGCCUUCGGGUUGUAAAGCACUUUCAGCGAGGAGGAAGGAGUUGUAGUUAAUAGCUGCAACUUUUGACGUUACUCGCAGAAGAAGCACCGGCUAACUCUGUGCCAGCAGCCGCAGUAAAAC